rnacentral:rRNA from 1 species
UACGGAAGGCAGCAGUGGGGAAUAUUGCACAAUGGGCGCAAGCCUGAUGCAGCCAUGCCGCGUGUAUGAAGAAGGCCUUCGGGUUGUAAAGUACUUUCAGUCGUGAGGAAGGUGUUAAGGUUAAUAACCUUAGCAAUUGACGUUAGCGACAGAAGAAGCACCGGCUAACUCCGUGCCAGCAGCCGCGGUAAUACGGAGGGUGCGAGCGUUAAUCGGAAUUACUGGGCGUAAAGGGCACGCAGGCGGUUAAUUAAGUUGGAUGUGAAAUCCCCGGGCUUAACCUGGGAAUGGCAUUCAAGACUGGUUAGCUAGAGUCUUGUAGAGGGGGUAGAAUUCCAUGUGUAGCGGUGAAAUGCGUAGAGAUGUGGAGGAAUCCGGUGGCGAAGGCGGCCCCUGGACAAAGCUGAUGCUCAUGUGCGAAAGCGUGGGGAGCAAACAGGAUUAGAUACC